UACGUAGGGGGCAAGCGUUGUCCGGAUUUAUUGGGCGUAAAGAGCGUGUAGGCGGUCAGGUAGGUCCGUUGUGAAAACUCGAGGCUCAACCUCGAGACGCCGAUGGAAACCAUCUGACUAGAGUCCGGAAGAGGAGAGUGGAAUUCCUGGUGUAGCGGUGAAAUGCGCAGAUAUCGGGAAGAACACCCGUGGCGAAGGCGGCUCUCUGGGACGGUACUGACGCUGAGACGCGAAAGCGUGGGGAGCGAACAGG
rnacentral:rRNA from 1 species